UACGUAGGGUGCAAGCGUUAAUCGGAAUCACUGGGCGUAAAGCGUGCGCAGGCGGUUAUGCAAGACCGCUGUGAAGUCCCCGGGCUCAACCUGGGAACUGCAUUUGUGACUGCAUGGCUAGAGUACGGUAGAGGGGGAUGGAAUUCCGCGUGUAGCAGUGAAAUGCGUAGAUAUGCGGAGGAACACCGAUGGCGAAGGCAAUCCCCUGGACCUGUACUGACGCUCAUGCACGAAAGCGUGGGGAGCAAACAGG
rnacentral:rRNA from 1 species